CUUCACUUUCAUCCACAUCGACAACUUGAAGCUGUUGAGCAGAAGAACCUGCAGAUGACGUACGGCCCGUAUCCACAUCUGGGAUUCUUUGACUCUUUGCCAUCGCUCUAAACUUCCUGGCCUUUGGUUUUUAGACAAACAGGAAGCUGCUCAUAGACAUCUGCUCGUGGACAGAAGUAUAACCCCUGCUGGACAUGGUGCCGGGGCUCGGGGGGGACCCGAAUCGUCCCCAUCCCUUCAUUCACACAACACUCACUCAUAUCGCGGAGAUCUGGCUGGGAUCGAACCAGCAACCUCUGAACCGUGAGGCAGCGCUCUUACCUAUUAAGGGAUGUGUUUGAACAGAAGCAGAGCUCUGGGACGUGUGGACAGACUUUCACUGUAAUGAUGGACAUCCGCUCGUGGACAGACAUCCCCAGGAUGGGGGCCCAUCAAAGGUGACCCAACCCAAUGACGGAGCCACAUUGUCAUGAAAAGGGCUGGUGUGGAUCUCCUGUCCUGGCUCCAUCAGCUCUACAGUAGCAGGCUCUGGGCUAUCAGACCAGGGUGAGAAAGAUGAUCCUUCUCCAGGUCAAAGGUCACCUUCACACUGAGUGUUUCCUUGUAGAGGUUAAUAGACUGUUUCACUGUUCAUGAUUGUUACUGUUUUAUAAAUCUAUUUAUUCAUGAUUUCACAAUAAAUAUGCUACAUACAGUGUUGGAUGUCUGCAUGGAAAAUCUGAAAGAUAUUUCUUCACACACUAAAAUGCUACAACUGCCUGUUUGAAAUGAGGAGGUUUUAAACACGUCGAACAUAAAUGAGUGUAUGGACUGAAAAAGAGGUAGAAUUAAACAAAGGAUUUGUGGAGAAUGGUACUGUCAGCAUCAGAUGAGAAAAAUAAAUUAGAUCAUAAUAUUGGAGGAGUUACCUGUUCAAACACACAAGGUCCUGUUUUUCCUCCCGGGGAUAGACUCCAGUUGGUACCAGGCUGCUGAUAAGGAGGUGCAGAGUGUCCUGUGUCCUGACAACUCCUAAAUCACUUUCAAGGACACACACAUACCUCACAAUAAAAGAGAGAGUUCAGGCAACAUGGGCAAGAUUAUGCAAAUGUUAUUCUGAUGGUUCAGAGACACCAUGCAGAAUGUCUGACAUGUCAACCCUGUUUUGAAUCUGCUGCAUUCUUUUGUUAUGUUGCCUGUACUCCUCUGCCGUUUUAAGCUUUGAGUUUUAAUGUACACACACACACACACACACACACACACACACACACACUGGCCACCUGUGCCUCUGAGGGCAUGUUCAGUCUCUCCAUUUAUCAUUACACCAUAACUAUCUCACUAACAAACCAGGUAUCACCCCUCCAGGAAAACUGUUAAAGACUUUUCCAUGUGGGAGUAUGACAUGCUGGUGAAGUCUUGAACAGAGAAACAUGUAGUUAAUUUUGUGAAGUAAAAUUUUGUGAUUUUGUGAAGUGAAGUGAAAUAAAAUAAAAUACAACAAAAUUAUUUAGCAGAAAGCUUUCCUGAUAGUUUUUCUUUUACAAAAGUAAAUGGGUACUGCACCUGUCAUAAUCAAAAAAAUGACCAAAAAAUUGUCUCUUUGCCCAAUUGUCUCUAUGAUGUUCUGAGCCUAAAUAUGAAUUUAAUUAAAUUAAUCAUCUAGAUUAAAAUAUUUAGAUUUUUUGUGCUUGGAUCACAACAAAAUGUAAAUAAUAAUAAUAAUACUAUUCUAUUAAAUUAAUACCUAAAUCUAUUACUGUACAUAUGCACAUUAUUCUAUAUAUAUAUACACUAUCAUAAUUUCAUUCGUUUUUUUUGUGUUUUUUAUUUUAAUUUAAUUUUAUUGUUUUUAUGUGUAGGCUAUAUGUGCCUUUGGUUUUCAUAUUUUCUGUUUGGUUCAGCUUAAAAAAUAAUAACCCCAACUGAACUUUCUCUUUACAAGACAAAAAAUGUCACCAACACCCUGUGAAUUAAUAAAGUAUUUUAGUUAAAUUG